GUCUCUCUGUCUCUCAAUGAUAAAUAACGUUAAAAAAUUUAAAAUAAAUAAAUAAAUAAAUAAUCAUUAAAAUAAAUAAAUAAAUUUAACUUUACAAAUGACUGAUCAAAAUCCUUUCUUUGAAGGUUAUAAGAAAGAUUAAGUUGGAUUGUGAACAUGUGUUAAAUCAUGGAGACUUUAUUUCCUUUUCACAGCACUUGGUAUUAUUGAAUAGCAUUAUUCAUUCAAAUGCUAUUUCUAGUUUCAUUUUUCUGAAAUGAAAGACAUGUUAACAUCUAGUUUUCAGUACAUAUUAGAAAAUAAUAAUAACCAAUAGGAACUUUAAUUUAAAAUUUUUUUUAAGUUUAUUUACUUCAAGAGAGACAGAGACAGCUGGAGCAGGGGAGUGGCAAAGAGAGAGGGAGAGAGAGAGAGAAUCCCAAGUAGACUCUACACUGUCAGUGCAGGGCCCUACUCUGGGCUCCAAGUCAUGAAACCACGACAUCAUGACCUGAGCAGAAACCUAAGAGUCGGACGCUUAACCAACUGAGCCACCCAGGUGCCCCAUAAAUUUUAAGUUUUAAAGAAAAAAGUUUUUAAAAAUUCUAGCAAUUACAGAUAAGACUAGUGCCUCCAUUAUUAUUUCUAUUUUUGUUACCAUGUUUAAGUAUUAUAAUUUACAUUUUGCUUCUAUGAUUAUAAAUCAUUAAAAUGAGUGUUCUAGUUAAUUUUAUUUAUAUUAGGUAUCUUUGCUCCUGUACCUUAGGUGGCCUUUGAAAGUAUGUUUGGAAAUUUCUAUAUCUGCCAAAAUAAAAACUGGUGUGUUUUUCACAGUCAUUUCAACAGAGCUUAUUUUAAAGUUUUUCUGAAUUUCAAACUUUUCCCUCAUCCUAUAACUACAAUCCAGUACAUGUGGAACCUCAGUCAGCCAGAAAAAGGAAAAACUAGUGACUGAGAAUCAAGUUAUUUUAUGUUAAGCCACCCAAAGCCAGUAAGAAGACAACUAAAAGAUUUGGAACAUUGUGAGAAGGAAAGAAGAAAUAAAUGGAGUCAGAGAGCAAAUUGGAGAGGCAAGACCAAAGUGAUACCGAUUAGGGAAGAGGAAAAAAAAUUGUAAAAAUUAAUAGAAGUGGUAAAAAUAAAAUGGAUACUGAUGAAUCUGAUGUUUAGCCAGGUUGUGUUAUGUCAGCACAAUCAAGCCUUAAAAUGGUCAGCCCUUUGAUUCUCUUCUUUGUUAAAACUUCUUAAUAUGAAAUAUACCAAUAAAGAUGGAACUAGUUUAUAGAGAA